rnacentral:rRNA from 1 species
UGCCUACGGGGCGCAGCAGUGAGGAAUAUUGGUCAAUGGGAGAGAUCCUGAACCAGCCAAGCCGCGUGAGGGAAGACGGCCCUAUGGGUUGUAAACCUCUUUUGUCGGAGAACAAAACCCGGGACGUGUCCCGGACUGCGUGUAUCCGAAGAAAAAGCAUCGGCUAACUCCGUGCCAGCAGCCGCGGUAAUACGGAGGAUGCGAGCGUUAUCCGGAUUUAUUGGGCGUAAAGCGAGUGCAGGCGGGUCACUAUGUCUCA